rnacentral:rRNA from 1 species
GACGAACGCUGGCGGCGUGCUUAACACAUGCAAGUGGUGCGACGAACCAGGGCUUGCCCUGGGGCCAAGCCGCGAACGGGUGAGUAACACGUGAGUAACCUGCCCCGAUGAUUGGGACAACCCGAGGAAACUCGGGCUAAUACCGAAUGUGGCGAACGGAUAUCAAGUCUGUUCGCUAAAGGAAGCUUCGGCCUCCGCAUUGGGAGGGGCUCGCGGCCCAUUAGCUUGUUGGUGGGUAACGGCCUACCAAGGCAACGAUGGGUAGCUGGUCUGAGAGGACGAUCAGCCACACUGGGACUGAGACACGGCCCAGACACCUACGGGAGGCAG